GAUGAAUGCUAGCGGCGUGCCUAACACAUGCAAGUCGAGCGGUAACAGGAGUAGUUUACUACUUGCUGACGAGCGGCGGACGGCUGAGUAACGCGUGGGAACGUGCCCCAAAGUGAGGAAUAACUGCCCGAAAGGGUAGCUAAUACCGCAUAUGAUCUUCGGAUUAAAGGAUUUAUCCGCUUUGGGAGCGGCCCGCGUCGGAUUAGGUAGUUGGUGAGGUAAUGGCUCACCAAGCCCACGAUCCGUAGCUGGUCUGGGAGGGUGAUCAGCUAGACUGGAACUGAGACACGGUCCAGACUCCUACGGGAGGCAGCAGUGAGGAAUCUUCCACAAUGGGCGAAAGCCUGAUGGAGCAACGCCGCGUGCAGGAUGAAGGCCUUCGGGUCGUAAACUGCUUUUAUAAGUGAAGAAUAUGACGGUAGCUUAUGAAUAAGCACCGGCUAACUACGUGCCAGCAGCCGCCGUAAGA
rnacentral:rRNA from 1 species